rnacentral:rRNA from 1 species
ACGGGGGGUACAAGCGUUACUCGGAAUAACUGGGCGUAAAGAGCGUGUAGGCGGAUCGAUAAGUUAGAAGUGAAAUCUUAUAGCUUAACUAUAGAAGUGCUUUGUAUACUGUUGAUCUAGAAUAUAAUAGAGGUAGAUGGAAUGUCAGGUGUAGGGGUAAAAUCCUUAGAGAUCACACAGAAUGCCGAUUGCGAAGGCAGUCUACUGGAUCAUUAUUGACGCUGAUAUGCGAAAGCGUGGGGAGCAAACAG